UUGAACGCUGGCGGCAUGCUUUACACAUGCAAGUCGAACGGUAGACCCUUUCGGGGGUUGAGAGUGGCGAACGGGUGAGUAAUGCAUCGGAACAUACCCAGUCGUGGGGGAUAACGUAGCGAAAGUUACGCUAAUACCGCAUACGAUCUAUGGAUGAAAGCGGGGGAUCGCAAGACCUCGCGCGAUUGGAGCGGCCGAUGUCAGAUUAGCUAGUUGGUGGGGUAAAGGCCCACCAAGGCGACGAUCUGUAGCUGGUCUGAGAGGACGACCAGCCACACUGGGACUGAGACACGGCCCAGACUCCUACGGGAGGCAGCAGUGGGGAAUUUUGGACAAUGGGCGCAAGCCUGAUCCAGCAAUGCCGCGUGCAGGAAGAAGGCCUUCGGGUUGUAAACUGCUUUUGUACGGAACGAAAAGGUCUGGGUUAAUACCCUGGGCUCAUGACGGUACCGUAAGAAUAAGCACCGGCUAACUACGU
rnacentral:rRNA from 1 species